rnacentral:lncRNA from 1 species
AGAAAUAGAAGAUCUCAUUUAUCAAAACUUUUGUAGAAAAGAUAUCAUGAUAAUAUCUCACUGAUGAGAAAACAAUCAAAAGAAUCUUUAGUUGAAGAGAGGUAUUGCCAAGGUCUUCUCAGAUUCCGACUCCACUUCCAUAAAUCAUUGUACGAUAUAUGUCUUCUUUUCAACGUUCUUGAUGAUCAAUCGAUUUGACUCGUAUUAGCCUCGUAAGAUGUCAUCGUAGACGUUAUCGUCCGUAAUAACUCUGGUCCAUGUAGUUUACAUUCUUCUACUUUAUCCCAGUUGCCUUUGAAAUCCAUAGCACAAACACGUAACGUAUCUUCGAUUGUCUGGAUCAUCAACCUGUGGGUUAUGGGCCCACCUUGAUGCCAUUUGAAAUCCCGAUUAGCUCGAAGCGUUGUCGUCGAGGACUAACGUUCUAACUUACUCGUAGACAUCAUCUCUAAUAACUGGACUCAAUUCCACAUACUCUCUAUCAUGCACUUAUUAUCUAUCCACUUCUAUCUACAAAUCUCUCCUUCUAAUUCAGUACAACUCAUAUCUUACACUAACUCUCCAUAUCUCCCUGAAACAACAUACCUCUUCCAAAUAUCUGACAUUGUCAACAUACUAUAACCAUGCAUUUCUAUCAUUCUCAAGUCAAUACAAUAGACCAUUUUCAACUAUGCAGUAUAGUCAGAAUACUCUGAACUCCGCAUUUUCACCAUUCUCAACUCAAUCAUUCACUAUCAAACUCUUCUAUCUAGGUCUAAUCUUGACCUUUCACACAAUUCAUCAUCUCAACUAGUCAACAUACUAGAAAUCAUACGUCUAACUUAGGAAUCCAAAUCUCUCUAACCUUAUACACUCAACUUGAUCGUCUAACCAGAUUCUAUACCUCUAUCACAUCUCUAGACUAUUUCCAAAUAGUCAGACCAUACCUCUAUGUGAGGUUACACAACAUUCCUCAUCAAUAGAACUUAAAACUAUAAUCUAUAUUCUAAUUUCAAAUACUUAUAACCUGUUGCUCUGAUACCAACUGUGAC